ACCUGUAUACUUUCCCAGAAAUAUAAAAUAUAAAUAUACAUAUAUAUAUUCUCAAUACUUCAAUUCAUUAACUCAACAUUUUCUCAUAUUAAUUAUGCCAUGCCACAUCAUCUCAACAUUUCUCAUAUUAAUUAUGCCAUGCCACAUCAUCUCAACAGUAAUAAGGUAUGAAUGCAUCAACAUAAAUCAUAUCAGGUGCAAUAAAGUAAUCAACCGGAGGCCCUCUAUUAGCCCGGUUGAACCUAGAGCUCAAAAUCUA
rnacentral:lncRNA from 1 species